rnacentral:rRNA from 1 species
GGAGGAAUAUUGGUCAAUGGGCGAGAGCCUGAACCAGCCAAGUAGCGUGCAGGAUGACGGCCCUAUGGGUUGUAGACUGCUUUUAUACAGGAAUAAAGUUAGCCACGUGUGGUUAUUUGUAGGUACUGUAUGAAUAAGGACCGGCUAAUUCCGUGCCAGCAGCCGCGGUAAUACGGAAGGUCCAGGCGUUAUCCGGAUUUAUUGGGUUUAAAGGGAGCGUAGGCCGUCUGUUAAGCGUGUUGUGAAAUGU